GGGCUAGCUCAGUCGGUAGACCAUGCGACUUUUAAUCUCAGGGUUGUGGGUCCAAGUCACACACUUCU